CAGCUGGGGUCCUCUAAGUAUAGUGACACCGUCAUGUUUAGUCCUAAACUUUCAUUUUAACCACCCGUGGUCUUUCAACUUUCAAAUUUAACCAUCCUUGGUUCUUCAACUCUCAAGUUAACCACUAAUGAUCCUUCAACUUUCAAAUUUUUAACCAGCUUUGGUCUUAACUUUGCCCUUAAUUAAACUAAUGGAAGGACCACGGCUAGUUACAUUUGAAAGUUGAAGGACCAUGGGUGGUUAAAUUGAAAGUUUAGAACUAAACAUGGCGGUGUCACUAUACUCGAAGGAUCACAGCUGUCAUUUAUUCAAUGCAAA